UGAGUAACGCGUAUGCAACCUACCUUUGACUGGAGAAUAGGCGCGAAGAAAUUCGGAUUAAUGCUCCAUGAGACCACAAUACCGCAUGAUAUAGUGGUAAAAGCUCCGGCGGUCAAAGAUGGGCAUGCGUGCCAUUAGUUAGUUGGUGAGGUUACGGCUCACCAAGACAACGAUGGCUAGGGGGUCUGAGAGGAUGAUCCCCCACACUGGUACUGAGACACGGACCAGACUCCUACGGGAGGCAGCAGUGAGGAAUAUUGGUCAAUGGACGCAAGUCUGAACCAGCCAUGCCGCGUGCAGGAUGAAUGCCCUAUGGGUUGUAAACUGCUUUUCUACAAGAAGAAACUUCCUGAUGUAUCAGGAACUGACGGUAUUGUAGGAAUAAGCAUCGGCUAACUCCGUGCCAGCAGCCGCGGUAAUACGGAGGAUGCAAGCGUUAUCCGGAUUCAUUGGGUUUAACGGGUGCGUAGGCGGGGUAGUAAGUCAGUGGUGAAAGCCUGCGGCUUAACCGUAGAAUUGCCAUUAAUACUGCUACUCUUGAAUGCCGUUGAACGUACGCGGAAUGUGUAAUGUAGCGGUGAAAUGCUUAGAUAUUACACAGAACACCGAUUGCGUAGGCAGCUUACUAAACUGUAACUGACGCUGAGGCACGAAAGCGUGGGGAGCGAACAGGAUUAGAUACCCUGGUAGUCCACGCUGUAAACUAUGAUCACUCGCUGUUGGCGAUACAUUGUCAGCGGCUGAGCGAAAGCAUUAAGUGAUCCACCUGGGGAGUACGGCCGCAAGGUUGAAACUCAAAGGAAUUGACGGGGGCCCGCACAAGCGGUGGAACAUGUGGUUUAAUUCGAUGAUACGCGAGGAACCUUACCUGGGCUUAAAUGCAGAACGACGUACCGGGAAACUGGUACUCCCUUCGGGGCGGACUGCAAGGUGCUGCAUGGUUGUCGUCAGCUCGUGCCGUGAGGUGUCGGGUUAAGUCCCAUAACGAGCGCAGCCCUCAUUGUUAGUUGCCAGCGAGUAAUGUCGGGGACUCUAACAAAACUGCCGGUGUAAACCGUGAGGAAGGUGGGGAUGACGUCAAAUCAGUACGGCCCUUAUGUCCAGGGCUACACACGUGUUACAAUGGCCAGUACAAAGGGCAGCUACCACGCGAGUGGAUGCUAAUCUCUAAAGCUGGUCUCAGUUCGGAUUGAAGUCUGCAACUCGACUUCAUGAAGCUGGAAUCACUAGUAAUCGCGCAUCAGCCAUGGCGCGGUGAAUACGUUCCCGGGCCUUGUACACACCGCCCGUCAAGCCAUGGAAGCUGGGGGUACCUGAAGUCCGUAACCGAAAGGA
rnacentral:rRNA from 1 species